GUCUACAGGGCCUGCGGGGCCGGGCGCGGGCCGGGGCCGGCGGAUCCCGCCCCCGCCCGCUCUUUGCACCCCGCCCAUUCGUCCGCCACCUACUUUGAGGGCCGUGGCGGCCGUGCCGAACACUAGCACUUGGGGGACUCUCUGGAUCCUGACCCUCUGGUCGGGGCUGGCUCGGGCCAGGAGCCCGGGCCGUGGCUCGAGGACCACUUUCUGCUGCGGCAGGAGCAGGUGCGGGGGCAGCACGCCCACCAGCUCCACCCACUGCUCGGCGCCCGGCUCGUAAUGGGGCGGCGGCGGCUCGGGGCUGCCUAGCUGCGGGGCCUCCCCGCUGCACGCUGGCGGUUCCGGGGCCAGCACGCCCGGCCCGGGCCCAGGCGUGGGCGGCCGGGGCGGCGGCUCCGGUGGCGGCGUGGGCCGGGGCUCUUGCUGCUCUGCCUUCCUAGCGGGAAACUGACUGCCUGAGCUCUGGAGGACAAACAGAGACACUGGGGGGUCACCGGGGGCGGCCGCGGGUGGGGCUCCAGGCCUCCACCGCCCACGAGGCUGCUGAGCUCACUCAGCAACCCGACCAGAAGAUCCCCACCCCGUGUGAGGGAGGGAGAACCGAGAUCUCUCUCAGCGAAACCUGGGCCUUAAACUGCCAGGUGCCCGGAAGGAGUAAGGCUCCAGGACCGCAUCCGCAGCCCAGGGCCAGAGGUGGAGCCCAGGAUGGGGCUGGGGUUCUGAAGGCUCCAGCUGCCUCCCCACCUACCCACCCACAUCCCCCCAGGGGAGCUCCACUCCCUCCCUGCGGCCUGAGGGGCCUGCACCCCUCCCCAGCUCAACCCAGGCCUAGCCCCAGUUUGCCCAGAGGUAGGUGGGGGAGACACACACCUCUUGAGCCACGUGGACCGGCUGGAGCCCUUGCACUGUGAGCUGCUGCACGGGGCCAGCUUUGGGCACUUGUGGAGUGGCCUGGACCACGGACCUCUGGGGAAGGAAAGGCAAGUCAGACUACGGUAACGAUGGCGAUGAUGGCUGCCCACCUGCCCCUAAGCACCACCCCCUGCCCACGUGAACUCAUGUAAGCCUCACAGCAGCCCCAUAAGGAAAGACGCCACCUUUCUCCGGCUUUUCACUGCUGGCCCUGCACCUAGUGCCUUCCAGGUUCAUUAUCAGGUUGCCUCUGGGCGCCAUGUUACAGGUGUGUAACCCAGGCUCAACAAGGUGAGGCUGAUGGGAAGUAGCACUGAGUUGAACUUGGGACUGACUGAGGGGUUCCCUGCGCUCUACCCCCACUCCCUACAUGGGUUAUCCCGCUCGCCCAUGAUACUGGCUGUCCUUACUUCCAUGCUAUGGAGGGGAUGCGGCAUUACCCUCAGGGUACAGAGUGAGGGACAGAGGCUGGGAGGCGGGAAGCUGCUCAGUGAUGGGGCCAGGACUUGAACCCAGGCCUAGAGGUUCAGAGGGGCUCUGGUGCCAGGCAGGAGAAUAUCUGUGAAUCCUUCAGGGUGGGGUUUCUGCUUUCCUCCAGGGAAAGGGUCUAUGGUUUUCAUCUGGUUCUCCAGGGGAUUGGGAACCUCCCAACCUGAGUGGUAACGACCAGAUGGCAGACAGCCCUUGCCUCUUAACCUGCUCUGGCUGCCGGGGGGGGGGGGGCAGCUCAGAGUGAGGCCUCCUCCAGAAGACUGGGCAUGGUUUUGGAGGCUGAGGCCUCUCGCUGAGCCCCCGAGGGGCGAGCCAGGACUUGGCCUUGGGGUUUCCUCCAGGCAAAUGGGCCCAGAGAGGCCAAGGCUGUUUCUCGAAGCUGUUUCCAGUGCCUGCUCGGUGUCAGGUGCUUUCCACGAGGACGCACUUCAUCCUCACGGCGGCCCCAACCGCCCUGCUCCCAGGCCCUCAGGGAGGAGCCGUUAUUUAGGCCUUCCCCACUGCAACUCCCACUGACAAGUGAAGGAGGACGCAGAGGCCGCCUGGCCAGCACCCUCGCCCCUGCCACUGCCCGCCUUUGCCUGGCACCUCUUGGGUGACGGGGACACUCUGCUGGACGCCGUGGACUUGCAGCUGCUGAGGCACUGUGCCCGUGGGGGCCCCAGCCGUCUUGCUGGAGGAGCUAUUGGCCUGCACUGGCGACCGCUGCAAUGGAAGGAGACACGGUCUCUGUUAAGAUGACUCCUGCAGCUCUUCCUUCCCCAAUGGGCCCUGACUGACACGGCCUCACCGGCUGGAGGCAGCAGGUAGGGCAGCCCCUGGAUAGGCCCCAUAGCCUAUGAUGCUGGUGAGGGUAGAUAAGAGCAGGCCACAGGGGUGGGUUCUGCACC